rnacentral:rRNA from 1 species
UACGAAGGGGGGCUAGCGUUGCUCGGAAUCACUGGGCGUAAAGCGCACGUAGGCGGAUUGCUAAGUCAGGGGUGAAAUCCUGGAGCUCAACUCCAGAACUGCCUUUGAUACUGGCGAUCUCGAGUUCGGGAGAGGUGAGUGGAAUUCCGAGUGUAGAGGUGAAAUUCGUAGAUAUUCGGAAGAACACCAGUGGCGAAGGCGGCUCACUGGACCGGUAUUGACGCUGAGGUGCGAAAGCGUGGGGGAGCAAACAGG